GACGAUGGUCUCCUCGGCAAAACCCUAGCGCCGCCCCAUGGCCUUUUCUCUCUCUUCGCUCAUACACAGCCAAAAAUGGCAAAAUGACAGAGGUAACAAGGUGUUUUAGGCUUUUCAUAGCCGAUUCAGGGAAAGCAUUAAUUGCUUCCACCAUUUUAUCACCAAACGCAACCCAAACAUGUAUUGGGGUUGAGGAAGCAAAGGGUCGACCAUAGGCUUCACGCAAAAAAGGUACAGACGCACCUGGAGAUAUGCCGUCAGUUUAGGGCAUCGAUUCUGCUGUUUUGGAAGAGCUCCUUUAAUCCGGAGCAAAUACUUUUGGGUAUAUAUCUUCUGUCAUCUGUAGACUCUGUAUGUAUGGUAUUUUGGGGUACGGCGAGGCCCUGUCCCGUCAUCUGAUUCUGUAUGUCUGUAGAGGCCUGUAGAUAGAUAUAUGGGUUACGGGUUUCAUCUGUUUGGGUAAGUACGAACGAUUUUGUGACUCCGUCUGUAUGUUAGCUUCAUCGGCUUGUCUGUAAAUUUUCGUAUGUUCAGGUAUGUAUAUGUUCGCGUGCGCCGCAUCUGUA